rnacentral:rRNA from 1 species
UUAAGCUAAGAAGAGCGUAGGGAGAAUGCCUUGGCAUUAGGAGCCGACGAAGGACGUGAUAAGCUGCGAUAAGCUGCGGGGAUCAGCAAGUAUGAAUUGAUCCGCAGAUUUCCGAAUGGAGCAAUCCGUAUGUGUAUGCACAUACAUCAUAUACUGAAUCAAAUAGGUAUAUGAGGGGAACCGCCUGAACUGAAACAUCUAAGUAGGGCGAGGAAGAGAAAUCAACCGAGAUUCUGUGAGUAGUGGCGAGCGAAAGCGGAAGAGGCUAAACCAUAGGUAGCAAUACUUAUGGGGUUUCGGACAGCAUUUAGCAUUGAUAAUUUCUAGUUGAAACGUGUGGGAAAACGUACCGAAGAGUGUGAGAGUCACGUAAGCGAAAGAGAGAGUCAGCGAGCUGUAUCCAAAGUACCGCGGGACACGUGAAACCCCGUGGGAAGAUGGGGGGACCAUCCUCCAAGCCUAAAUACUACCUAAUGACCGAUAGCGAAUAGUACUGUGAAGGAACGGUGAAAAGAACCCCGGGAGGGGAGUGAAAAAGAACCUGAAACCCUAUGCUUACAAGCACCGAGAGCACGUCAAAGUGUGAUCGGGUACCUUUUGUAGAAUGGUCCGGCGAGUUAUUGUAUGCGGCAAGGUUAAGUGCUUAAGGCACGGAGCCGAAGCGAGAGCAAGUCUGAACAGGGCGAAAAAGUCGUAUGCAAUAGACCCGAAACCGAGUGACCUAUCCAUGUCCAGGCUGAAGUGGAGGUAAAACUCCAUGGAGGGCCGAACACACGUCCGUUGAAAAGGCCGGUGAUGAGGUGUGGAUAGCGGAGAAAUUCCAAUCGAACUCGGAUAUAGCUGGUUCUCUCCGAAAUAGCUUUAGGGCUAGCCUCGUGAAAGAUUACUGGAGGUAAAGCACUGAAUGGGCUAGGGGUCGAAAGAUUACUGAACCCUAUCAAACUAAGAAUGCCAGAUAAUUGAUUCACGGGAGUCAGACAAUGUGAGAUAAGUCUCAUUGUCAAAAGGGAAACAGCCCAGACCCACAGCUAAGGUCCCUAAACAUUGUUAAGUGGAAAAGGAUGUGGGGUUGCAUAAACAACCAGGAUGUUGGCUUAGAAGCAGCCACUCAUUAAAAGAGUGCGUAAUAGCUCACUGGUCGAGUGACCCUGCGCCGAAAAUUCAACGGGGCUAAACAAUGUACCGAAGCUUGGGAUUCUAAAGUAAUUUAGAGUGGUAGGAGAGCGUCGAAUAAGGGGUGAAGUCAGAGCGGAAGCGCUGGUGGACUUUAUUCGAGUGAGAAUGCCGGAAUGAGUAGCGAGAAUUAUGUGAGAAUCAUAAUGGCCGAAAAUCUAAGGUUUCCUGAGGAAGGUUCGUCCGCUCAGGGUAAGCCGGGAGCUAAGGCGAGGCGGAGACGCGUAGCCGAUGCACAUACGGUUGAAAUUCCGUAGCCACCGAAAGAUUUAAGUACAGGGACGCUUUAGAAGUGAUGUUGCCGGGCGAUGGUUGACCCGGUCGUAAGGGAUCGAAAAUGAGUAGAGAAGUCAUCAUGGAAAGAGACAAGAAAAGCUGUAUGAAUAUCUUAGGUGCCCGUACCGCAAACCGACACAGGUAGAUAGGAAGAAGAUUCUAAGGCCAACGGGAGAAGGGUUGUUAAGGAACUCGGCAAGUUGACCCCGUAACUUAGGGAUAAGGGGUGCUCAAGUGAUUGAGCCGCAGAGAAUAGGCCCAGGCGACUGUUUAGCAAAAACACAGGUCUCUGCUAAAUCGAAAGAUGACGUAUAGGGGCUGACACCUGCCCGGUGCCGGAAGGUUAAGAGGAGAUGUGAGAGCAUUGAAUUGAAGCCCCGGUAAACGGCGGCCGUAACUAUAACGGUCCUAAGGUAGCGAAAUUCCUUGUCAGGUAA